rnacentral:lncRNA from 1 species
GGACGUUAGAAAGAACCAAUCGAGCGUAUCUUUAGUUUGGCUGCAUCAUUUUUCCAUGUGGACUGCUUCCCAAAAAUGAAACCAGAUAAUCUCCAGAAAACUUCAGCAUGACAUCUCAAAGUCCCCUUCUACAGGCAUGGGCAGAAAGCCUGUAGCUGUCGUAGGCCGCUAGCGAACAUCCGAGGCCGCCCGUCCUCGCGAGUCUGCGACGUGGGCCAUUAUCAACAUCCAUGACUGUCGUCCCAUUUGGAGGUAACCAGCUACUUCGAGGAAACGCCACAAGCAGCAAAAUCACUUAAUUAAUCGUACUUACAUUGCCUAUAUUUCUUCAAGUCUUUCACUGUAGGCUGCUUCUUCUGUCCUCCAUUUGUAGAAUUGGAAAUAAAAGAAAGUCAUUAUUAUUCAGAUUAAUGUACACAAAUCAAAACAUUUUUAUACACAAUUUUUUUUAUUUAAACAUUUUCUCAUUGUUGAAGGACUGGUCUGUGAACUUGAAUAUGAAGAACAGCAAUAAAAUAAAAGGGUCUCUUUGUUGUAGACCAAGUAAAUUUGACAUUUUCCCUCUCUUAUUCUUCAAUUUUUCCUGCUUCUUAAUAACAGGGACAUUGGAAAGAACCAAUCGAGCAUAUCUUUAGUUUGGCUGCAUCAUUUUUCCAUGUGGACUGCUUCCCAAAAAUGAAACCAGAUAAUCUCCAGAAAACUUCAGCAUGACAUCUCAAAGUCCCCUUCUACAGGCAUGGGCAGAAAGCCUGUAGCUGUCGUAGGCCGCUAGCGAACAUCUGAGGCCGCCCG